CCCUUAGAUGUUCUGGGCAGCACGUGCGCUACAAUGGUCUUCGCAAACGGAUGCAUUCUCGAAGGAGAAUGCCAAUCUUGGAAUCUAUGCCUUGGUCGGGACAGUUGCUUGCAAUUUUUCGACUCGAACCAGGAAUUCCUUGUAAUCGUGAUUCAUCACAUCACGAUGAAUACGUCCCUGCCCUUUGUACACACCGCCCGUCGCUCCUACCGAUCGAAGAGUUAGGUGAAUUGUUUUGAUCGAUAAGAUUUGACUAUGGUCAACUCUCGUUGUGAAAUUCUGUGAAUCUGACUGUUUAGAGGAAGGAAAAGUCGCAACA
rnacentral:rRNA from 1 species